rnacentral:rRNA from 1 species
GAUGAACGCUGGCGGCGUGCCUAAUACAUGCAAGUCGAGCGAACAGACGAGGAGCUUGCUCCUCUGACGUUAGCGGCGGACGGGUCAGUAACACGUGGAUAACCUACCUAUAAGACUGGGAUAACUUCGGGAAGCCGGAGCUAAUACCGGAUAAUAUAUUGAACCGCAUGGUUCAAUAGUGAAAGACGGUUUUGCUGUCACUUAUAGAUGGAUCCGCGCCGCAUUAGCUAGUUGGUAAGGUAACGGCUUACCAAGGCAACGAUGCGUAGCCGACCUGAGAGGGUGAUCGGCCACACUGGAACUGAGACACGGUCCAGACUCCUACGGGAGGCAGCAGUAGGGAAUCUUCCGCAAUGGGCGAAAGCUUGACGGAGCAACGCCGCGUGAGUGAUGAAGGUCUUCGGAUCGUAAAACUCUGUUAUUAGGGAAGAACAAAUGUGUAAGUAACUAUGCACGUCUUGACGGUACCUAAUCAGAAAGCCACGGCUAACUACGUG